rnacentral:rRNA from 1 species
GAAGUAUACUGGAAGUAGGCCCUCGCCCGGUGCCCUGCGGGGUUAACGGCGGUGUUAAACCUUAAAGUAGCGUGAUAGAUUGGCCUUUAAUUGGGGUCUGGUAUGAAUGGGUUGACGUCGGAAAUGCUGUCUCAAAAAAAUAUAAUGAAAUUUACUUUUCAGUGAAAAGGCUGAAAUUUGAGUAAAAGACGAGAAGACCCUAUCGAGCUUGAGGGAUUCUAAUGUUGUAAAACCGUUAGAAGGAGUUUGGCUGGGGCAGCAACGGAGGUAACCUCCGUUUUUAAGUCGAAGAUCCAUUAGAUUGGUUAAUGAUAAGAGGAAAAAGUUACCGUAGGGAUAACAGCACCAGACCGCCUCAGAGGCCGUAUCGAAGGCGGAAGGUGUGACCUCGAUGUUGGAUCACGGUGAACCGCAUGGUGCAGGAGCUAUGCAGGUGGGAGUGUUCUUCCU